GAUGAACGCUAGCGGGAGGCCUAAUACAUGCAAGUCGAACGGUAACAGGUAGCAAUACGCUGACGAGUGGCGCACGGGUGAGUAACACGUACACAAUCUGCCUUAUACUGGGGCAUAUCCUCGCGAAAGUGAGAGCAAUUCCCCAUAAUAUAUUUGAAUGGCAUCAUUUGAAUAUUAAAGCUCAGGCGGUAUAAGAUGAGUGUGCGUCUGAUUAGGUAGUUGGUGAGGUAAUGGCUCACCAAGCCUGCGAUCAGUAGCUGGUCUGAGAGGAUGAUCAGUCACACGGACACUGAGACACGGGUCCGACUCCUACGGGAGGCAGCAGUAGGGAAUAUUGGACAAUGGGCGCGAGCCUGAUCCAGCCAUCCCGCGUGAAGGAUGAAGGCCCUCUGGGUCGUAAACUUCUUUUAUAUGGGACGAAAAAAGGGUUUUCUAACUCGUCUGACGGUACCAUAUGAAUAAGCACCGGCUAACUCCGUGCCAG
rnacentral:rRNA from 1 species